rnacentral:rRNA from 1 species
CGCAAGGGGAGUGGCAGACGGGUGAGUAACACGUGGGAACCUUCCCUAUAGUACGGAAUAGCCCAGGGAAACUUGGAGUAAUACCGUAUACGCCCGAAAGGGGAAAGAAUUUCGCUAUAGGAUGGGCCCGCGUAGGAUUAGCUAGUUGGUGAGGUAAUGGCUCUCCAAGGCGACGAUCCUUAGCUGGUUUGAGAGAACGACCAGCCACACUGGGACUGAGACACGGCCCAGACUCCUACGGGAGGCAGCAGUGGGGAAUAUUGGACAAUGGGCGCAAGCCUGAUCCAGCCAUGCCGCGUGAGUGAUGAAGGCCUUAGGG